rnacentral:snRNA from 1 species
GUGUUCUCCUCCACAGCACAUAUACUAAAAUUGGAGCAACAGAGAAGAUUAAGGGCCCUGUAUGGCCCCUGCACAAGGAUAACACAAAAGUUUGUGACGUGAUCCAUAUUAAA